UCCGUGGCCUAGUGGUCAUGGCUGCGGAUUCGCAUUUCGUCGAGUCGUGGGUUCGAGCACGGAUGCCAUUAAAGCCCCACCGAAAAAU